UUUCGUAGAAGUUCGAGCCUCGCGCGCAAUUUGCUACUGUCAAAAUUGUUUACCGUGAGCCGUGAGGUUAAUUUGUAGAUUUUAAUUUCAUAUUUCAAUGAUUUACUGUAUUUUUAUACUCAGACCGAACUUGUAGCAUGUUUUUUGUGACAUUAUUCUGAUAUAAUUGAAGUUUUUGUGCAAACCAAACCAACGCGAUUUGUGUGUGGUUGUCAAAAAGUACGCGAAUAUUUUGUAAAAUAGGAUUUUUACAUAAUGUUAACGCACAAUGUAUGAAGAUGACAACAUAACUUGUACUCCAAAGCGCUGUGUGCUUACUGAGGUCACAAACUCAGCCAACUAUGUAUCGCCGACUGCUAACCUCAAGUUACUGACUAAUGUCGCGUUGCAAUAUCCCACACCGCCGCCCAGUGCUGUACAUCGAAAAGAAAAAUCCCUUCAGAUAUUAUGUGACAGAUUCCUCAAUCUGUAUCCACUCCAUGGUGAUGGUCCAGUGGAAAUACAACUGGAUAGCACUGCAGCCCGGCUAGGCGUAGAGAAACGUCGAAUGUAUGAUAUAAUAAACAUACUUGAAGCUAUGCAGUGUGCAGUUCAUAAGAGAAAGAACACAUAUCUUUGGCAUGGAGGAUCUCGACUAAAUUCAUUUCUUAAAAUGUUGAAAAAGCAGGGGGAGCACCUUAAGUUAUCAGAAGCUCUGCGUGGGAAAGCCCCCAAGCCUCCCACACCCAAACAUAAAACUUUGGGAGUUUUGGCUCAGAGAUUCCUGAUGCUGUUCUUAGUAGAACCUCCUAAUACUCUAAUAAACUUGGAGAUGGCUGUGAGAGUGUUGAUAGACACUUCCAAUAAGAGUAAGACAGUCCUCACUCCUGAGCAGCAGGACCGCCAACACAAGUCCAAAGUAAGGAGACUCUAUGACAUUGCCAAUGUAUUUAUCUCAAUUGGUCUCAUUGAAAAAGUAUCAGGUAAUUUAAUAUUAAAGAAGCCAGUUUUUAAGUAUGUGGGGCCAUACAAGAUUAAGAAGUGUGAUAAGACUUUAAUGACAACACCAUCCCCCAUCACACCACUGUCGCUGUUGGACAGUGAGCAGAGGGGCACCGCUUGCCAUGUGUUUGCUGGAAGAUCCAAACGGAAACUGGAGUUCACGACUCCAACUUCCACCAAAGAACUGAAGCUUGGUAUCACAACCCCACCUCACACGCCGUCACACAAGUGGGAUGAAAUCCUGCUCGUGGCUGACAUGGAACUGACUAGAAUUAACAAAGGAGUAGUCUUGUGAUUAAUUUAAAAUUUGAUUGUAUUGAUAAUAAUGCAGAUUUUUAUAUAGUUCUCUUUUUCUAUUUGUCUUCCAGGAUAGCAUGUCAUAGUGACUUAUUAUAUAGACAAAAUUAUAAUGUACUUUGUUCCUAUUUUUAAAUUUUAUUCAGUUGUUGCUAAGAGCAGAUUAUUUAAAGGGAGUACUGAAUAUAUUAUUAUAGUACAGAAAGUUUUUUCAUGAGUGAGAGAUUAGACUGGACUCCUUUUUAUUAUUAUUCUAUUUAUGAAUUUCUGAUCCUAGUGUCUAGGAUUUGUACAACUACAAAAUCUAUUUUUUGACAAAUUAUGAUAUCGGUUUUUAACUGUAGAAGGCCUAGUGGCUCUUUAACUGUAGACAUGGAUUUAUAUAGAAUAUGCUUUUAUUUUAUAUUUGUUUAUUCUUUAUUCCUAAUAAAUGAAAUGACCUUUUUUCUAA
rnacentral:misc_RNA from 1 species